GGCGGCGUAGCUCAGCUGGUCAGAGCAUGCGGUUCAUACCCGCAGUGUCGCUGGUUCGAAUCCAGCCGCCGCUACCACCG
rnacentral:tRNA from 1 species